rnacentral:ncRNA from 1 species
UAUACGUGGAAAAAUUUGAUUGCUUGCAACCACUUAAAAAAAUGCUAAAAA